rnacentral:snoRNA from 1 species
AAGCAACACUCUGUGGCAGAUGAUCAAAACUGUCUGACACAAUUUGAGCUUGCUAUAGCAAGAAAGUCUAAGCUAUUCCGGUGUUCUUCCUUCUGUGAGACAAGCCGUUAUAUUGACUUAAACAGU